GAUGAACGCUGGCGGCGUGCCUAAUACAUGCGAGUCGAGCGAACGGACGAGAAGCUUGCUUCUCUGAUGUUAGCGGCGGACGGGUGAGUAACACGUGGAUAACCUACCUAUAAGACUGGGAUAACUUCGGGAAACCGGAGCUAAUACCGGAUAAUAUUUUGAACCGCAUGGUUCAAAAGUGAAAGACGGUCCUGCUGUCACUUAUAGAUGGAUCCGCGCUGCAUUAGCUAGUUGGUAAGGUAACGGCUUACCAAGGCAACGAUGCAUAGCCGACCUGAGAGGGUGAUCGGCCACACUGGAACUGAGACACGGUCCAGACUCCUACGGGAGGCAGCAGUAGGGAAUCUUCCGCAAUGGGCGAAAGCCUGACGGAGCAACGCCGCGUGAGUGAUGAAGGUCUUCGGAUCGUAAAACUCUGUUAUUAGGGAAGAACAUAUGUGUAAGUAACUGUGCACAUCUUGACGGUACCUAAUCAGAAAGCCACGGCUAACUACGUG
rnacentral:rRNA from 1 species